UUGAAAAUAUUAAGAGGACUUAAUUUAAUAUUACAAAAGAUUUUAAGUUAACUCAACAUGUAAUUUAGUGCAAUGGGCUUAACAUAAGUGUAAUAAUUAUGCAAAGCAAUUUACAUUGGAAUUUUUUUAAGUUAAAUUCACUCAAGUUUUCAUUAUACACUACUUACAUUUUUUAGGGCAACCAGUUUCCUCACAUUUUCUAAGUAAAUUCAACUCAUCCGGGCUUACAGUGUAAAUAAAUACUCACCUCUUGGAAAAACUUCAUCUGCUGAGUUGCCUUUCUACAACCUUCCUAGACAGUUGUGCAAACUCCUUUACAAACAUUGAGAUUGACAUUUCCUUCCAUGUAUCUAGCAAUGUGGAAAAUUCCAAGCUUUGGUCUGCAGGGACUCUGACUUUUUCUGAUGAAGUCCAAUCAAUCAAUGUGAACACUAGUGUGCCAAUUUGUAAGUGUGAAACUGCUGUUGCUUUUUCAGAUACAGGCAGAUCCCAGUCUCUCCUCCUCCAGUGGUUCAAAUUGGAGUAUUGUUACUGAUAAAACAGUUAUCCUGUUUUGAUCAGAGUUAUCAAACCUUCCUGCUGCUUCUGGUCAUCUCAGUAAGUUCCUCUCGUCUCUGACUCACUGUUUGCUAUCUGUCAGGGGCCUGUACCAGAAAGAAGGUUCAACAAAUUCUCAGGCUGUUUUUGAAACAUCUACUAUACUUGAUUAUGUACUAAUUUCUCUGGCAAAAUAUUCAGUAGCUCAUCAGACCAGUCUUCGCUGACUGUUUCCCACAAUGCAAAGCGCCAGGUCAAAGAUUGAAAAGAUGGACAGGUAUGGUUGAUUAAAAGUUACAUUAAGUUGACCUCUUUUAUAGGCCUAGUUCUAUAACAUAAUUUGGUUUGUAAACUGGAGGUACUUAUGUGCAUGUAUGGACAUUGAUGACUCUCUUAAUUAUGAGUGGGUGAAGUCUGCCAGUCUUGCUAAAAAUUACAUUAAUCCUGAGACUUGCAGGCAAAGAUUCCGCUCCCUGGAUGUCAACCCUGAUGAGAGCCCUAAAGAGUUGUAUGUGAUGCUCAAGGAGCUCUUUGGGAAAUGGAUCCAGUCAAAAGGUUAAAGCAUCCAACAAGUAAGUGAAAUAAUCAUCCUACAACAAUAUUUGAGAAUGUUGUCCCUGAGCUUCAGGUAUGGAUCAAAGAGCAUGACACAGAUUCAGCAACGGAGGCUGCCAAGCUGGCUGAUGUCUUUGUGGCUGCACGGAAAAAGGGUCAACCAUGGAGCUACAAUGCAUUGAGGCAGACAAAGGACAGCCACAAACCAGCCCAACAGUUCCAACAGGGGGAAGCAUCCAGUGCAGGGCCUUGCUUGACUCUGGUACACAGGAAGUUUGUACCACCCAACAUUGUCAGCAGCAGUGACACCAUCUUUAUCUGUUGUGUUCAUGGAGAUGAGAAGCCUUAUCCAACAGCUGACAUCUACAGUAAGAACAAAGCAGACAGUGUAACGCUGUGGUAAACAGAAUGCAGGCCAUGCUGUUGGAGACCACACCUGGGAAUUCUCGGAAAACCCGCAGACAGAGAAGGCACAAGAAAUUCCAAGAGACAGUGAUGACACCAGCACUGAGCCAGAGUUACCACUAAGGUUUCAAGUUCCAGGUAAUAUAAGUGAUAUGCAGAAAACUGAUCUGUCUUUGGUCUCUCUUUUCCAGAAAGCGAAGAUGCCGGAAGCUGAGUUGGACAUCAUAACUGAUGAGAAUAUCCUGCAAAAUGGCAUCCUCUAUCGUCAAGAGUCAGCGUUGCAGCUAGAAACCAACCAGACCCUGAAACAGAUGCUCCGGAAGUUGGUAAACAACACUGGCACAGACUGGGAUCAACAGCUGCCAUACCUCCUUUUUUGCAGGGAAGUACCCAAUCCUCCACUGGUUUCUCUCCUUUUGAACUUCUGUAUAGACAUGAAGUUUGGGGGUUGUUGGCACUCUUGAGAGAUCUGGGAGGGGGCAAGGGGAGGGUGGGAUCUGUUAACGUUGUAUCCUAUGUCAUCCAGAUGAGAGAGCGACUGGAGAAAAUGGGUGAGCUGGCCCAAUCGCACGUGGCGGACGCCCAGCAGCAACACAAGUCCUGGUACGACAAGCCAGCCAGGCAGAGAUUCUUCACCCUGGACAGAAAGUGCUGGUGGUAAGAAACUGUUGGCUAAAUGGCAAGGACCGUUCAAAAUCCUUAAGAAACUUGGGCCAACCAGGUAUCGACACAAAGGCACUCACGCUCCAGUAGGGUACUUCACAUAAAUCUCUUAAGAGUGGGUGCUGCGACCUGAAAGAAAAACAGAAGUGAUGCUAUUAAGUGUGCUGGAUGAAGAAGUGGGUGAGCAAUACUUGGAGAAGGUGCUUCUGUGAGAAGGUUAAGUUACAGGAUCCCUGAGCGCCUGCUGGCCUCACUGAGGAGGGAAGUUAACCUGAUGCCUUCCCUGGGGAUCAUCGAGACUUCAAGGAGCUCGUGGUGUAACCCAAUGGUGCUUGUAACAAAGAAGGAUGGAAGCAUAAGGUUCUGCAUUGAUUUCAGGUACCUGAAUUGAAUUUCUCUCUUUGAUUCCUAUCCAACACCAAUAAUGUAUGAACUGCUUGAAAGGCAUAAUACUUGACGACAAUAGAUCUCUGCAAGGGUUAUUGGCAGAUUCCUCUCACCAAUCGGUCACAGGAGCUGACAGCCUUCAGGACACCAUGGGGCCCUUUCCAUUUCACAGUAAUACCAUUUGAGUUUCACAGCGCUCCAGCAACUUUACAGAGACUCAGACCAGGUAAUUUGUUAUUUCUCUGGUUUUGCUGCAGCAUAUCUAGAUGACAUUGUCAUUUACAGUAACACGUGGGAGGAACACCUGCAAGCUGUCUUGGAUCGCCUUCAUUCUGCCUGGCUGACUGUCAUCCUAUCGAAGUACCUAGGCCACGUCAUCAAUGGGGUUGUACGCCCUCAGGUCAACAAAAUCCAGGCCAUAGUCCUGUCCCCUGCCACAAACAAGGAAGCAGCUCUGAUCUUUUUUGGGCUAUCAGGCUUCUAUCACCGCUUCAUACCCAAUUUCUCCAACAGGGCAGCGCUUCUCACAGACUUGACUAGAUCCCGGAGUCCCAAUCAGAUCCAGUGGACAGAGAUGGCAGUGGCAGCUUUCAGUGAUAUCCAGCAACCUCUUCUGUACAGCCCAAACUUGGACGAACAUUUUCUGAUGCUUCUGACAGGGCUUUGGGAGCUGUGUUACUCCAGGGACUUCAGGAUGAUCAGCAUCCAGUCGCCUACAUCAGCUGGA